rnacentral:rRNA from 1 species
UACGUAGGGGGCAAGCGUUGUUCGGAAUUACUGGGCGUAAAGGGCGCGUAGGCGGCACAGCAAGUCGGGAGUGAAAGCCCGGGGCUCAACCCCGGAAUGGCUUUCGAAACUGCUGAGCUAGAGUACAGAAGGGGCAACCGGAAUUCCCAGUGUAGCGGUGAAAUGCGUAGAUAUUGGGAAGAACACCCGAGGCGAAGGCGGGUUGCUGGGCUGAUACUGACGCUGAGGCGCGAAAGCCAGGGGAGCAAACAGG